UACUAUAAUGGCACUCGAGAGAUGCACU
rnacentral:piRNA from 1 species